UUGCUGGAGCCUAUCCCAGAUGUCAUCAGGCAAAGGUCUCUAUGGGACACAAAUAAAAGUUUCAGCGACUUGAAGAGUCAUUUUAAAACUGCAGCUGUUCUGAGAAACAUUUCAUGACGUCAUGUUACAUUUUGUUACGUUACAUUAUGUUUCACACAGUUAAGAUGGUUCAGUGGAUGUUUUAUAAACAGAGACAUUUGAAUUUACCAUGACAUUUUCAUUUCAUUUAGAUUAAUUUUAUUCAAUGUUUUUUUUACCAGUUUUUCUGUGGAAAUUUCUCUUUCUGAACUAAAUACUUACACUGAGACUCAGUGAUGUGAUUGAAAGUGAAGAUUGAAACUUUUCUGACUCAGCAGGAAGAAGACGUUUUAAGUAAAGUCUCAGUGAAACUCACACAGUGCAGGUAGAAGACUGGAAUGUGGCCCCGGAGCAUGUUUUAGUGCUGCAAAGACUCAGAGAAAAAUUCUGUUUUAAUAACUUAGAACAUCAGUUUUUUUCUUCUGUGUUGUUGUGUCUACAAUUAAGUUUGUGUUUCAUUACCAGAACUACUCACACAGUAAACAGCACAGUUGGUGGGAGAGAAAUUGCCGAGCAAAGCAAUAUUUUACUGUCUUGGAGAUCACUGUCCGACCAGGGGCUAAACAGUCAAAUAGAAUUGAUCAUUUUGGCUUUAAAUAGGAUUUUUUUUUUUUUUAAAUCAGGGAGCACGUUUUCACAAAUUCGAACGCACACAUGAAAAUCAACUGUCAAACCCUUUUGAAAUCUAUCUUAUAAUGUUCUUUAAGAAGGUAAUCUCAGCCAGCAAGGCCAGGAGGGCCCCAUGUGCUUUGAAAGUGGGCAGAAAAUGUGGCCCCAAAUGGGUCUGUCCACACUUUCUGUGGUGGCCCCACUUGUGUUUGCCCACAUUAGCUAAAGUGGGCAUUAAUUAGGUUGGUUUGCUACGCUACCCAGCCGCCCAGCCGAACAGCUGAGUUUGCUAGCUUUAUUCUAGUUUGAUACAGCAGAGCUCGCUAUAGUGGAGCUAGUUAGCUUGGUACAGCAAAGAUUGCUAGCUAGGUGCAGCAGAGCUCACUAGCUUCAUAAAGUGGAGCUCAUUUGCUUGCUACAAUGGAGCUCGCUAGCGUGAUACAGCGGAGCUCGCUAAUUUGAUAUAGCAGAGCUCGCUAUAGUGGAGCUCGAUACAACGGAAGUUGCUAGAAUGGAGCUUGCUAGCUUCCUACAGCGGAGCUCGCUAGCUUGCAACAACGGAGCUUGCUAGUUUGCUAUAGUGGAGAUCGCUAGCUUGUUACAUCGGCGCUCACUAGCUUGUGACAACGGAGCUUGCUAGCUUCCUACAACGGAGCUUGCAAGCUUGAUUCAGCAGAGAUCACUAGCUCGAUACAACAGAACUCGCUAGCUCGCUACAGCGGAGCCCGAUAGCUUGCCACAAUGGAGUUUGCUAGCUUGAUACAGCGGAGCUAGCUAGCAUGCCACGCCAUCCAGCGGGAGUCUGAAUAGCAUGGCGAGCUAACUAACUGAGUGCCCACUUUAGCCAAUGUGGGACAACACAGGUUGGGUCACCACGAAAACUGUGGACGAACCCAUUUGGGGCCCACAUUUUCUGCCCACUUGGCCUCGCUGGCUGGGUUCUAACUGAAGGAGAAGCUAUAGUUUUUUGGCCUGAUUAGAGGAAUGAAACAGAACUAACUUUUCUAUCUCUCUGGAUCCAGAAAGGAGGUUGAGCAGAAAAACAGCAAAGACGUGUUUUACUUUUCCCCUCUUGGGCCCUCAAAGCAGCCCUGAAGCCCAGGAGUUAUUAGCGGCCCUGCUGAGAAGCAUCUGAGGACGGCUGGUGCUGCAGUCAGCAUCAACUCAGCAGGACACACUGACAGGAAGUCUCUGUAAGCAGAACAAAGAAUUUCAGAGUAAAGCCGGAGCACUGAAGAGGACAGUGGACCCAGAAACAUAAUUUUGGCACAAAUGGAACUCCAUACAGCCCAGCUUCAGCCAGACUCCUUCAGUGGUCCCAAGGCAAAACUGUAAUCCCGAUCUUCAGCCAGCAUUCUGCUGCUGCAGGGGAUCCAAAACAUGGUGGUGCAGCAGAUCCCAGGAAGCACGGCUCCCUCAGGUGAAGGAAUCGUUUAUGUCACCAGUGAAAGCCUGCCUGGCCACAUUCUGCAGGUCUGACAGGAGAACCGGGUUCUGCAGUCUGAGCUGUCAUAAAAUGAUGCGAUGGAGGUCUGCGUUGGGCCACAGAACACACCUGCACCGCUCCCUCCUGCAUGCCUGCACAUCAGCUCCGGCCUGGGGGGGGGCGGUUGAAGCUUGGAUGUGUCACGGCUGAAAGGAUUUCUUCCUAACAGGCAGCUGUAAGUCAAAAAGCCAUUAGAGGACAUUAAAACGGAGACGCCUCACAUUAGCCCUGCAUGAAUAAUGAAUGUGAGAUGCAACAGUCUGAGCAUCACAGCAGCUGUCAAAGGGGAAUUUCCUCAUAGAAUUAAAUCAUUUUUUAUUUUUGAACAUUAAAAGUCAUUUUAAAGGUUUUAGGGAAUCAGAAGAUGUUUGUGCUAAAAUGUAGAAACAUGUUUAUCAAAGAUGUUGAUUUUUGUGCUCAUGGAUUCAUUUUCUCGGCAAUGACAACAUAAUAUUUGAUGAUGAUGACGACGGCGGCUCCCAUAACCACCUCUCAGCCUGUCGGCACCUUCCAGUCUGCCCGCCAUUGUGUCAAUUCAUUAUGAAUGAUGUGUGUAUCUGCUGCUGCGGCGCUUGUACCAUCCCUGGCUCCACGCUGGCGGCUGAUGUCAAGGCGCAUGAGUCAGUCUUCGCCGCAUUACUCACGUCUGCUGACCCACCUGGCUCCUGUUCUUCCAUCAGGAGGAGGAGGAGAACAGUGGAUCUGGGGAACCAAAGCGAGGAGAGAAGGUGCAUCACUUUCCAAACACUGCAGCAACUCCACCAGCAGCUGAAGUCAUGCCGUCCCCGCCCCCCUUUCCUUUUUCCAAGUAAAAUCAGACAUGAAGUCAUAUUCAGCCAGAAGCAAGUGAGCAGAAAUAACUGGCAUGUGGCUGUGAGGUCAUGGGCAGAAAGAGGAGGAAAGAUAACAGAGCUGCAGCCACCAGCGCCGAGUGUGUCAGCCGCCGUCUUUGUCUGAGCAACAUCCAAGUCGUCACGUCAGCAUGAUCCCGCAGCGAAAGGUGCUUACAAGGUCAAACGCUUUGAAAAUCAGGAGUUUGGGAGCAGAAAUCCUUAAUAAAAAUGUCUAAUUUCUGGCUUUUUUUCUGUUAUUUUUCAGUCGAACUCUGAGAUCUAACACUCGGAUCAUACCGGGUAAAAUAUAUAUCCUAAUGUUUCAAACUGUUCAUAUAAAAGCAUGGCAAGAAACUGCUUUAGAGGUGUUAAAAACAAUGUAAAGUCUAAAGUUUUGGCAGUUAGUUUAACCUUUUCAGUUUCUUGAUGGACCAUAAUGGAGAAACUAAAUAUGGAGGAAACACGGAAACAUUGGAAGUCUGUGGCUGCAGAAGAGAGAAGAGGGCCUCUGCAGUGACAUCCGGAAGGUUCUGUUCUGAGAUGACAGAGGAUGAGAUCUGCAGGAACCUCCUGAACAGCAACAUCCCCAGGAUUACAUCAUCUCCUCUCGUUCCUGUCAUGUUUCCCUGCUCUGAAAUACAUGUAAACCGACGCAAACGUUUCAUCCAUCAGACAGAUCACCUGUGAAUACAGAAAGGAGGCUGUGAAUCCCAGACUGACGGCAGGUCUUUAGGGUUCCUAAACGCUAGUUUGAACAGCUGUUGGUGAUCAGGAUCGUGAAGAUUAGAACAGAGAAGAUUCGCCAACUUUUCUGUCUCACUUUGAUCUCCUACCUCACCAAUUGUAAUGAAGUUUGAGGAAUAAUCAUAAUAUUCAUUACAUUUAUUGUACAUAUUUCUUCAUGGAACUAAACAGACGGUUUUAUGAACUGAACCAGGGCGACCCAUUUCAGCUUUCCGCACGUGAGCUUAAAUUAUUAUUAUAUUACUGAUGUGCUACAAAUGUAGAUUUUCUAUUAUUGUUAUCUAUUAUAUGCACCAUACUGGAUGCAAUUUACUGUUGACAUGUUGCAUUAAAUUUCAAUAAAAGUUGCUAGUUGGCUGAAUUAGAAGCUGGUGAAUAUGGUGCACUGGGGUUUUGUUCUCUAUUUUCAUUCCCUCUAUUCUUUCUCAUUCUCCAGGCCUCUGCUUGGUGCAGUGUGAUUCAUGGGUUGUCCCUCUUCCCCACUCCUCUCCAGGGGAUUCCAGGUUCCAGGUGGUUCAAUCUGUGCUCCUGUUCUGGGCCGUGGACCUCGCCUCUGGCUCGCCUCAACACCCAGCUGUCCCAGUUCUAUGUGGAUGAAGCCCAUCUGCUACUCAAACACUUCGUUGUAGAGUUGGAAAAGCAAAUUCUUCUUUACCAAUCCUGGUACUCGCCUGUCUGUCCUGGGAGAGGAUCCCUGAGGUUUUCUUCUUUUUUUUCUGUGAAUUUUUUUUCUUCACCAAGAAGGAGGAUCUAAUGGUUGGGUGUCCAGUUUACCUUAGUCUGUUUAGCUUAGCAACCAGCUAUUGUUUAUGUUUUAUGACUACUCUCUGCUUUUGUACAAUUACCGCUAUGAAGCCCAUUGUGAAAACUGUUUUGUGAUAUUUGUUAUGUAAAUCAAACUGAACUGAAUUGGAGUUUGUGCAGCAUAAGGAGCUCAAAGGACGCCGCGGUGAAUUCCACAUGACAUCAUCUGAUCGCCGUCUUCUUCUCUGGUGGUCCAGGAUGUGGUUUGUAAAGGUGUCACUGCAGGAAUACGAGCCGCUUUGUGUGUGUGUGUCUCAUUGUGAGUGUGUGUGUGUGUCUCAUUGUGAGUGUGUGUCUCAUUGUGAGUGUGUGUGUGUCUCAUUGUGAGUGUGUGU